rfam:Alligator mississippiensis ScZkoYb_43, whole genome shotgun sequence.
GUGGGCUACGGGGACAUGUACCCUCUGACGAUUGGGGGCAAGAUCGUGGGCUCUUUGUGUGCCAUUGCUGGCGUGCUGACCAUAGCCCUGCCUGUGCCCGUCAUCGUGUCCAAC